rnacentral:rRNA from 1 species
UCGAGAAUCUUCGGCAAUGGGCGCAAGCCUGACCGAGCGACGCCGCGUGGAGGAUGAAGGCCUUCGGGUUGUAAACUCCUGUCGAGGGGGAGGAAGGCGCAAGCUUGACCUAUCCCUGGAGGAAGCACGGGCUAAGUUCGUGCCAGCAGCCGCGGUAAGACGAACCGUGCGAACGUUAUUCGGAAUCACUGGGCUUAAAGCGCGUGUAGGCGGAUGGGGACGUCGGUUGUUGAAAGCCCCCGGCUCAACCGGGGAACUGGCGCCGAAACGCCCUGUCUUGAGGAGCGUAGGGGGACCUGGAACUUCCGGUGGAGCGGUGAAAUGCGUUGAGAUCGGAAGGAACGCCCGUGGCGAAAGCGAGGUCCUGGACGUUAUCUGACGCUGAGACGCGAAAGCUAGGGGAGCGAACGGGAUUAGAUACCCCCGUAGUCC